rnacentral:rRNA from 1 species
UUAAGCGACUAAGCGUACACGGUGGAUGCCCUGGCAGUCAGAGGCGAUGAAGGACGUGCUAAUCUGCGAUAAGCGUCGGUAAGGUGAUAUGAACCGUUAUAACCGGCGAUUUCCGAAUGGGGAAACCCAGUGUGAUUCGUCACACUAUCAUUAACUGAAUCCAUAGGUUAAUGAGGCGAACCGGGGGAACUGAAACAUCUAAGUACCCCGAGGAAAAGAAAUCAACCGAGAUUCCCCCAGUAGCGGCGAGCGAACGGGGAGCAGCCCAGAGCCUGAAUCAGUGUGUGUGUUAGUGGAAGCGUCUGGAAAGGCACGCGAUACAGGGUGACAGCCCCGUACACAAAAAUGCACAUGCUGUGAGCUCGAUGAGUAGGGCGGGACACGUGGUAUCCUGUCUGAAUAUGGGGGGACCAUCCUCCAAGGCUAAAUACUCCUGACUGACCGAUAGUGAACCAGUACCGUGAGGGAAAGGCGAAAAGAACCCCGGCGAGGGGAGUGAAAAAGAACCUGAAACCGUGUACGUACAAGCAGUGGGAGCACGCUUAGGCGUGUGACUGCGUACCUUUUGUAUAAUGGGUCAGCGACUUAUAUUCUGUAGCAAGGUUAACCGAAUAGGGGAGCCGAAGGGAAACCGAGUCUUAACUGGGCGUUAAGUUGCAGGGUAUAGACCCGAAACCCGGUGAUCUAGCCAUGGGCAGGUUGAAGGUUGGGUAACACUAACUGGAGGACCGAACCGACUAAUGUUGAAAAAUUAGCGGAUGACUUGUGGCUGGGGGUGAAAGGCCAAUCAAACCGGGAGAUAGCUGGUUCUCCCCGAAAGCUAUUUAGGUAGCGCCUCGUGAAUUCAUCUCCGGGGGUAGAGCACUGUUUCGGCAAGGGGGUCAUCCCGACUUACCAACCCGAUGCAAACUGCGAAUACCGGAGAAUGUUAUCACGGGAGACACACGGCGGGUGCUAACGUCCGUCGUGAAGAGGGAAACAACCCAGACCGCCAGCUAAGGUCCCAAAGUCAUGGUUAAGUGGGAAACGAUGUGGGAAGGCCCAGACAGCCAGGAUGUUGGCUUAGAAGCAGCCAUCAUUUAAAGAAAGCGUAAUAGCUCACUGGUCGAGUCGGCCUGCGCGGAAGAUGUAACGGGGCUAAACCAUGCACCGAAGCUGCGGCAGCGACGCUUAUGCGUUGUUGGGUAGGGGAGCGUUCUGUAAGCCUGUGAAGGUGUGCUGUGAGGCAUGCUGGAGGUAUCAGAAGUGCGAAUGCUGACAUAAGUAACGAUAAAGCGGGUGAAAAGCCCGCUCGCCGGAAGACCAAGGGUUCCUGUCCAACGUUAAUCGGGGCAGGGUGAGUCGACCCCUAAGGCGAGGCCGAAAGGCGUAGUCGAUGGGAAACAGGUUAAUAUUCCUGUACUUGGUGUUACUGCGAAGGGGGGACGGAGAAGGCUAUGUUGGCCGGGCGACGGUUGUCCCGGUUUAAGCGUGUAGGCUGGUUUUCCAGGCAAAUCCGGAAAAUCAAGGCUGAGGCGUGAUGACGAGGCACUACGGUGCUGAAGCAACAAAUGCCCUGCUUCCAGGAAAAGCCUCUAAGCAUCAGGUAACAUCAAAUCGUACCCCAAACCGACACAGGUGGUCAGGUAGAGAAUACCAAGGCGCUUGAGAGAACUCGGGUGAAGGAACUAGGCAAAAUGGUGCCGUAACUUCGGGAGAAGGCACGCUGAUAUGUAGGUGAAGCGACUUGCUCGUGGAGCUGAAAUCAGUCGAAGAUACCAGCUGGCUGCAACUGUUUAUUAAAAACACAGCACUGUGCAAACACGAAAGUGGACGUAUACGGUGUGACGCCUGCCCGGUGCCGGAAGGUUAAUUGAUGGGGUUAGCGCAAGCGAAGCUCUUGAUCGAAGCCCCGGUAAACGGCGGCCGUAACUAUAACGGUCCUAAGGUAGCGAAAUUCCUUGUCGGGUAAGUUCCGACCUGCACGAAUGGCGUAAUGAUGGCCAGGCUGUCUCCACCCGAGACUCAGUGAAAUUGAACUCGCUGUGAAGAUGCAGUGUACCCGCGGCAAGACGGAAAGACCCCGUGAACCUUUACUAUAGCUUGACACUGAACAUUGAGCCUUGAUGUGUAGGAUAGGUGGGAGGCUUUGAAGUGUGGACGCCAGUCUGCAUGGAGCCGACCUUGAAAUACCACCCUUUAAUGUUUGAUGUUCUAACGUUGACCCGUAAUCCGGGUUGCGGACAGUGUCUGGUGGGUAGUUUGACUGGGGCGGUCUCCUCCUAAAGAGUAACGGAGGAGCACGAAGGUUGGCUAAUCCUGGUCGGACAUCAGGAGGUUAGUGCAAUGGCAUAAGCCAGCUUGACUGCGAGCGUGACGGCGCGAGCAGGUGCGAAAGCAGGUCAUAGUGAUCCGGUGGUUCUGAAUGGAAGGGCCAUCGCUCAACGGAUAAAAGGUACUCCGGGGAUAACAGGCUGAUACCGCCCAAGAGUUCAUAUCGACGGCGGUGUUUGGCACCUCGAUGUCGGCUCAUCACAUCCUGGGGCUGAAGUAGGUCCCAAGGGUAUGGCUGUUCGCCAUUUAAAGUGGUACGCGAGCUGGGUUUAGAACGUCGUGAGACAGUUCGGUCCCUAUCUGCCGUGGGCGCUGGAGAACUGAGGGGGGCUGCUCCUAGUACGAGAGGACCGGAGUGGACGCAUCACUGGUGUUCGGGUUGUCAUGCCAAUGGCACUGCCCGGUAGCUAAAUGCGGAAGAGAUAAGUGCUGAAAGCAUCUAAGCACGAAACUUGCCCCGAGAUGAGUUCUCCCUGACUCCUUGAGAGUCCUGAAGGAACGUUGAAGACGACGACGUUGAUAGGCCGGGUGUGUAAGCGCAGCGAUGCGUUGAGCUAACCGGUACUAAUGAACCGUGAGGCUUAACCUU